GAUGAACGCUGGCGGUAUGCCUAACACAUGCAAGUCGUACGAGAGUUUUUAACUCUAGUGGCGGACGGGUGAGUAACACGUGAGAAUUUGCCUUUAGGAGGGGGAUAACAAUUGGAAACGAAUGCUAAUACCCCAUAUGCUUUCGAGUGAAAUGGAUUUUAUCCGCCUAGAGAGAAGCUCGCGGCUGAUUAGCUUGUUGGUAAGGUAAGAGCUUACCAAGGCGACGAUCAGUAUCUGGUUUGAGAGGACGAUCAGACACACUGGAACUGAGACACGGUCCAGACUCCUACGGGAGGCAGCAGUGGGGAAUUUUCCGCAAUGGGCGAAAGCCUGACGGAGCAAUACCGCGUGAGGGAAGAAUGCCUAUGGGUUGUAAACCUCUUUUUCAGGGAGGAAUAAAAUGACGUGUACCUGAAGAAUAAGCAUCGGCUAACUCCGUG
rnacentral:rRNA from 1 species